AUGUCAUGGUGUGGACAUUUUUCUCAGUAGCUCUUUGUAUCUUUCUCAUGCAUCAGGAACUGUUUCAUCAUCCAUUUGUUUAAAAGUGGACAUCUCAUUUCUAGAUUU